rnacentral:rRNA from 1 species
GACAGAGGUGCCGAGCGUUAGGCGGAAUCACUGGGCUUAAAGCGUGUGUAGGCGGGUUCGUAAGUACCUUGUGAAAUCCCACGGCUCAACCGUGGAACUGCUCGGUAUACUGCGAGCCUUGAGCUGUCUAGGGGCGACCGGAACAAACGGUGGAGCGGUGAAAUGCGUAGAUAUCGGGAAGAACACCCGUGGCGAAGGCGGUUCUCUGGGACGGUACUGACGCUGAGACGCGAAGGCCAGGGGAGCAAACGGGG